GUUGUAUAGUCAAGUAAUUAAGUGCAUGUGGUGGAUGCCUUGGCAGUCAGAGGCGAUGAAAGACGUGAUAGCCUGCGAAAAGCUCCGGGGAGGCGGCAAAUAUCCUUUGAUCCGGAGAUGUCUGAAUGGGGGAACCCACCUACUUUAAGGUAGGUAUUGCAACAUGAAUACAUAGUGUUGCAAGGCGAACGAGGGGAAGUGAAACAUCUCAGUACCCUUAGGAAAAGAAAUCAAUUGAGAUUCCCUCAGUAGCGGCGAGCGAACGGGGAUCAGCCCAUUAAGUUAUGUGUGUUUUAGUGGAACGCUCUGGGAAGUGCGAACGUAGAGGGUGAUAUUCCCGUACACGAAAGGGCACACAUAAUGAUGACGAGUAGGGCGAGGCACGUGAAACCUUGUCUGAAUAUGGGGGGACCAUCCUCCAAGGCUAAAUACUCCUGACUGACCGAUAGUGAACCAGUACCGUGAGGGAAAGGCGAAAAGAACCCCUGUGAGGGGAGUGAAAUAGAUCCUGAAACCGCAUGCAUACAAGCAGUGGGAGCACCUUCGUGGUGUGACUGCGUACCUUUUGUAUAAUGGGUCAGCGACUUAUAUUCAGUAGCAAGGUUAACCGUAUAGGGGAGCCGUAGAGAAAUCGAGUCUUAAUAGGGCGUUUAGUUGCUGGGUAUAGACCCGAAACCAGGCGAUCUAUCCAUGAGCAGGUUGAAGGUUGGGUAACACUAACUGGAGGACCGAACCCACUGUCGUUGAAAAGCCAGGGGAUGACUUGUGGAUAGGGGUGAAAGGCUAAUCAAGCCUGGUGAUAGCUGGUUCUCCCCGAAAGCUAUUUAGGUAGCGCCUCGGACGAAUACCAUAGGGGGUAGAGCACUGUUUCGGCUAGGGGGUCAUCCCGACUUACCAAACCGAUGCAAACUCCGAAUACCUAUGAGUACUAUCCGGGAGACAGACUGCGGGUGCUAACGUCCGUAGUCAAGAGGAAAACAAUCCAGACCGCCAGCUAAGGCCCCAAAAUCAUAGUUAAGUGGGAAACGAUGUGGGAAGGCAUAGACAGCUAGGAGGUUGGCUUAGAAGCAGCCACCCUUUAAAGAAAGCGUAAUAGCUCACUAGUCGAGUCGGCCUGCGCGGAAGAUGUAACGGGGCUAAAACUAUGUGCCGAAGCUGCGGAUNNNNNNNNNAUGCUGGAGGUAUCAGAAGUGCGAAUGCUGACGUGAGUAACGACAAAACGGGUGAAAAACCCGUUCGCCGAAAGACCAAGGGUUCCAGUCCAACGUUAAUCGGGGCUGGGUGAGUCGACCCCUAAGGCGAGGCCGAAAGGCGUAGUCGAUGGGAAAAUGGUUAAUAUUCCAUUACUUCUGUGUAAUGCGAUGAGAGGACGGAGAAGGCUAAAUCAGCCUGGCGUUGGUUGUCCAGGUGAAAGGAUGUAGGCAUGUAUCUUAGGCAAAUCCGGGGUACUCUAUGCUGAGAUCUGAUAGCAAGCUGUACUUGUACAGCGAAGUGGUUGAUGCCAUGCUUCCAGGAAAAGUCUCUAAGCUUCAGUUACACAGGAAUCGUACCCGAAACCGACACAGGUGGUCAGGUCGAGUAGACCAAGGCGCUUGAGAGAACUCUGCUGAAGGAACUAGGCAAAAUGGUACCGUAACUUCGGGAGAAGGUACGCUGUUGUUGGUGAUGGAACUCGCUUCCUGAGCUGACGACAGCCGCAGAAACCAGGCCGCUGCAACUGUUUAUUAAAAACAUAGCACUCUGCAAACACGAAAGUGGACGUAUAGGGUGUGAUGCCUGCCCGGUGCUGGAAGGUUAAUUGAUGGGGUUAGCGUAAGCGAAGCUCUUGAUCGAAGCCCCAGUAAACGGCGGCCGUAACUAUAACGGUCCUAAGGUAGCGAAAUUCCUUGUCGGGUAAGUUCCGACCUGCACGAAUGGCAUAAUGAUGGCGGCGCUGUCUCCAGCAGAGGCUCAGUGAAAUCGAAAUCGCUGUGAAGAUGCAGUGUACCCGCGGCUAGACGGAAAGACCCCGUGAACCUUUACUGCAGCUUGACACUGAACUUUGACCUUACUUGUGUAGGAUAGGUGGGAGGCUUUGAAGCUGGAACGCUAGUUCCAGUGGAGCCGUCCUUGAAAUACCACCCUGGUAAUGUUGAGGUUCUAACUCUGUCCCGUGAUCCGGGACGAGGACCGUGUCUGGUGGGUAGUUUGACUGGGGCGGUCUCCUCCUAAAGAGUAACGGAGGAGUACGAAGGUGCGCUCAGCGUGGUCGGAAAUCACGCGUAGAGUAUAAAGGCAAAAGCGCGCUUAACUGCGAGACCCACAAGUCGAGCAGGUACGAAAGUAGGUCUUAGUGAUCCGGUGGUUCUGUAUGGAAGGGCCAUCGCUCAACGGAUAAAAGGUACUCUGGGGAUAACAGGCUGAUACCGCCCAAGAGUUCAUAUCGACGGCGGUGUUUGGCACCUCGAUGUCGGCUCAUCUCAUCCUGGGGCUGAAGCAGGUCCCAAGGGUAUGGCUGUUCGCCAUUUAAAGAGGUACGCGAGCUGGGUUUAGAACGUCGUGAGACAGUUCGGUCCCUAUCUACCGUGGGCGCUGGAAAUUUGAGAGGAUCUGCUCCUAGUACGAGAGGACCAGAGUGGACGAACCUCUGGUGUACCGGUUGUGACGCCAGUCGCAUCGCCGGGUAGCUAUGUUCGGAAGGGAUAACCGCUGAAAGCAUCUAAGCGGGAAGCCUACCUCAAGAUAAGAUUUCCCUAGGACUUUAUGUCCUCUAAAGAGCCGUUCGAGACUAGGACGUUGAUAGGUUGGAUGUGGAAGCAUAGUGAUAUGUGAAGCUGACCAAUACUAAUUGCUCGUGAGGCUUGACUAUACAACACCCAAGCAGUUG
rnacentral:rRNA from 1 species